GGCGCACGGGUGAGUAACGCGUAUGCAACCUGCCUGAUACCGGGGUAUAGCCCAUGGAAACGUGGAUUAACACCCCAUAGUACUUUUAUCCUGCCUGGGAUGUGAGUUAAAUGUUCAAGGUAUCGGAUGGGCAUGCGUCCUAUUAGUUAGUUGGCGGGGUAACAGCCCACCAAGACGAUGAUAGGUAGGGGUUCUGAGAGGAAGGUCCCCCACAUUGGAACUGAGACACGGUCCAAACUCCUACGGGAGGCAGCAGUGAGGAAUAUUGGUCAAUGGACGUAAGUCUGAACCAGCCAAGUCGCGUGAGGGAAGACUGCCCUAUGGGUUGUAAACCUCUUUUAUAAGGGAAGAAUAAGUUCUACGUGUAGAAUGAUGCCUGUACCUUAUGAAUAAGCAUCGGCUAACUCCGUGCCAGCAGCCGCGGUAAUACGGAGGAUGCGAGCGUUAUCCGGAUUUAUUGGGUUUAAAGGGUGCGUAGGCGGUUUAUUAAGUUAGUGGUUAAAUAUUUGAGCUAAACUCAAUUGUGCCAUUAAUACUGGUAAACUGGAGUACAGACGAGGUAGGCGGAAUAAGUUAAGUAGCGGUGAAAUGCAUAGAUAUAACUUAGAACUCCGAUAGCGAAGGCAGCUUACCAGACUGUAACUGACG
rnacentral:rRNA from 1 species